rnacentral:rRNA from 1 species
CAGCAGUAGCCGCGGUAAUACGUAGGGUGCAAGCGUUAAUCGGAAUUACUGGGCGUAGAGCGUGCGCAGGCGGUUAUAUAAGUCAGAUGUGAAAUCCCCGGGCUCAACCUGGGAACUGCAUUUGAGACUGUAUGGCUAGAGUGUGUCAGAGGGGGGUAGAAUUCCACGUGUAGCAGUGAAAUGCGUAGAUAUGUGGAGGAAUACCGAUGGCGAAGGCAGCCCCCUGGGAUAACGCUGACGCUCAUGCACGAAAGUGUGGGGAGCAAACAGGAUUAGAUACCCGCGUAGUCCCUGUCUCUUAUAC